GGCAAUAACUUGAGCAAACA
rnacentral:miRNA from 1 species